GCAGUGGUCCAGCAGGCUGAUCUUAUGUGCUAAUAAGGAGCAUCUGCUUUGCAUGCAGAAGGUUCCAGGUUCAAUCCCCGGCAUCUCCA